rnacentral:rRNA from 1 species
UACGUAGGGUGCGAGCGUUGUCCGGAAUUACUGGGCGUAAAGAGCGUGUAGGCGGCCAACUAAGUCCUGCGUGAAAUCUCGGGGCUCAACCCCGAGCGGUCGUGGGAAACUGGUUGGCUAGAGUGCGGGAGAGGAGAGUGGAAUUCCUGGUGUAGCGGUGAAAUGCGCAGAUAUCAGGAAGAACACCCGUGGCGAAGGCGGCUCUCUGGAACGCAACUGACGCUGAGACGCGAAAGCGUGGGGAGCAAACAGG